UGGCUGACGGUGUUGUUUCAGGUCGCACCAAAGCUGGACUUCUGAGAGAAUAACAAGAAAAACAAACAAGGCCAUGGUCCAAGGAGGCAAGAAUGCAUUGAUGAGGUGAACCAGCAUCUCCGAUGGUGGUGCCACCAAGAAGGCUUCGGCUUCUACGACCAUGGAGCCCACUUCAAGGACAGAGGACUCCUGGGGAGAGACAGCAUCCACCUCACAUAGAAAGGGAUAAGAUAUCACAUUCAACCCUAGUGUGGCUUCAGAGACUUCGGUGGAUCCAAGCAAUUGGCUGGCCCUUGUGGGAAGAGGAUUAGAAGUGAAAACUACUCGGAGAAAAUAAGCACCUGUUUUAAAAGACCAACUAGAGAAGAACAGGACACAUCUUUCCAACCAAGACAAGAACAUCCUGUUAAGAAAUGCAGCCGCGUGCCUGCAGUGGCUCAGGCUAGAAGAUACAGCAAGCCCUCCCUUCCCUUCAGCAGUGGCUGGUGUCAGGAGGUGAUGUGACUCCACCAGACUGUUGUUUGGGACAUUAAGUGACAUGACUACCAGUGAGUGACAUUCGGUGAUGCAGUGGCGGAGGAAUGUGACCUUAAUAUGCACUAUCAUGCGGACAGUGUGUGAUCAAUAGUAGCCUAACCAAUCAGAAGUUGCCCCUAGAGCGUGACUGGCCGGACCAGCAUGCUGAGGCCUCCAGAAUGUUCCAUCAAGGGGGGACCCUGAUUGGCUAGGGAGUCUACAAAGGGGACUGUGCGCCUCAGCAUAGGGUCCCCAGACGCUCCUGAACUCAGGAAGACAGUCUGAUCACCUGUCUUGUCUGGACAGACCCCUAGGCUAGCUAGAUUCCUAGCAUAGGCUACCACAGCUUAUAGCUAGACCACGCGCUAUCCGGAACGCCCUGUGUGUUGCCCAACUAGGCAUCAUACUUGUACUGAUAGUAUUUUCAGCUGCAGUCGACCUUCACAAUUACACCUUGCUUGUUACUCGCCGCUACCCAUCAUCUGUUUGUUCUCUGCACCACGUCGUCUGUGUCCACCUGCUACUGUAAAUAGUCUUUGUAAUUAGUUCCUGUAUUCAUGAAGUUGAUUCAACUCGUUAAUCAUCUUGUUGGUUUGUAAGUAGACUUAUGAAUUUUCUUCACCUACUAGUUGUCGCGCUUUUUUCCUCUCUCACACUUGGAAUCCCCGAGCGUGUCUGGG